GUGGAUUAGUGGCGAACGGGUGAGUAACACGUGGGCAAUCUGCCCUUCACUCUGGGACAAGCCCUGGAAACGGGGUCUAAUACCGGAUAACACUCUGUCCCUCAUGGGGCGGGGUUAAAAGCUCCGGCGGUGAAGGAUGAGCCCGCGGCCUAUCAGCUUGUUGGUGGGGUAAUGGCCUACCAAGGCGACGACGGGUAGCCGGCCUGAGAGGGCGACCGGCCACACUGGGACUGAGACACGGCCCAGACUCCUACGGGAGGCAGCAGUGGGGAAUAUUGCACAAUGGGCGAAAGCCUGAUGCAGCGACGCCGCGUGAGGGAUGACGGCCUUCGGGUUGUAAACCUCUUUCAGCAGGGAAGAAGCGAAAGUGACGGUACCUGCAGAAGAAGCACCGGCUAACUACGUGCCAGCAGCCGCGGUAAUACGUAGGGUGCGAGCGUUGUCCGGAAUUAUUGGGCGUAAAGAGCUCGUAGGCGGCUUGUCACGUCGGAUGUGAAAGCUCGGGGCUUAACCCCGAGUCUGCAUUCGAUACGGGCUAGCUAGAGUGUGGUAGGGGAGAUCGGAAUUCCUGGUGUAGCGGUGAAAUGCGCAGAUAUCAGGAGGAACACCGGUGGCGAAGGCGGAUCUCUGGGCCAUUACUGACGCUGAGGAGCGAAAGCGUGGGGAGCGAACAGGAUUAGAUACCCUGGUAGUCCACGCCGUAAACGUUGGGAACUAGGUGUUGGCGACAUUCCACGUCGUCGGUGCCGCA
rnacentral:rRNA from 1 species